UUACAGUGCCAGCCGGGCCCCCCCGUUGCCCCCCGCAAGGGAUGCAGCAUGGGCGGUGGCCCUGGCUAAACGGCCCCACACUUGUCUAUCGACCGCGUUGUCUCGGCGGGACGUCCGCAUCGUCGGCGACCGGGGAGCCCCUGAGGUCCCCUGGCCAGCGCCCGCCCGAGUACCGUUCGAACCACUGUUUUCAGCUAGUGAAGUCUGAGAGAAUAUUUUUAAUAUUACAAAACUUUCAACAAUGGAUCUCUUGGUUCCGGCAUCGAUGAAGAACGCAGCGAAAUGCGAUAAGUAAUGUGAAUUGCAGAAUUCCGUGAAUCAUCGAAUCUUUGAACGCACAUUGCGCCCUCUGGUAUUCCGGGGGGCAUGCCUGUCCGAGCGUCAUUGCAACCCCUCAAGCACGGCUUGUGUUAUGGGCGGACGUCCCCUUAGCCGGUGGACGGGCCCCAAAUGCAGUGACCGAGGCCGUGAUUCCGGCGCCCGAGCGAAUGGGAUUUCCACCAGCUCUAGUGGCCCGGCCGGUCCUCAGGUCCCGACCAAUUUCAUUUCAAGGUUGACCUCGGAUCAGGUAGGGAUACCCGCUGAACUUAAGCAUAUCA
rnacentral:misc_RNA from 1 species